CCUACGGGUGGCAGCAGUGAGGAAUAUUGGUCAAUGGACGAGAGUCUGAACCAGCCAAGUAGCGUGAAGGAUGACUGCCCUAUGGGUUGUAAACUUCUUUUAUAAAGGAAUAAAACGAGGCACGUGUGCCUUUUUGCAUGUACUUUAUGAAUAAGGAUCGGCUAACUCCGUGCCAGCAGCCGCGGUAAUACGGAGGAUCCGAGCGUUAUCCGGAUUUAUUGGGUUUAAAGGGAGCGUAGAUGGGUUGUUAAGUCAGUUGUGAAAGUUUGCGGCUCAACCGUAAAAUUGCAAUUGAUACUGGCAGUCUUGAGUGCAGUUGAGGUAAGCGGAAUUCGUGGUGUAGCGGUGAAAUGCUUAGAUAUCACGAAGAACCCCGAUUGCGAAGGCAGCUUACUAUACUGUGACUGACAUUGAGGCUCGAAAGUGUGGGUAUCGAACAGGAUUAGAUACCCUUGUAGUC
rnacentral:rRNA from 1 species